rnacentral:rRNA from 1 species
CACGUAGGGUGCGAGCGUUGUCCGGAAUUAUUGGGCGUAAAGAGCUCGUAGGCGGUGUGUCGCGUCGGCCGUGAAAACCUGCAGCUUAACUGUGGGCUUGCGGUCGAUACGGGCAUCACUGGAGUUCGGCAGGGGAGACUGGAAUUCCGUGGUGUAGCGGUGAAAUGCGCAGAUAUCAGGAGGGAACACCGGUGGGCCGAAGGCGG